rnacentral:tRNA from 1 species
AUUAGCUCAGCUGGUAGAGCAUCUGACUUUUAAUCAGAGGGUCGAAGGUUCGAAUCCUUCAUG